CACGUAGGGGGCAAGCGUUGUCCGGCUUUAUUGGGCGUACAGAGCUCGUAGGCGGUUUGUUGCGUCGGCUGUGAAAUCCCGAGGCUCAACCUCGGGUCUGCAGUCGAUACGAGCAAACUAGAGUGUUGCAGGGGAGACUGGAAUUCCUGGUGUAGCGGUGAAAUGCGCAGAUAUCAGGAGGAACACCGGUGGCGAAGGCGGGUCUCUGGGCAACAACUGACGCUGAGGAGCGAAAGCGUGGGGAGCGAACAGG
rnacentral:rRNA from 1 species